rnacentral:rRNA from 1 species
AUUGAACGCUGGCGGCAGGCCUAACACAUGCAAGUCGAACGAGUGGCGGACGGGUGUGUAAUGUCUUUGAAACUUCCCGAUGUAGGGGGAUAACUCCUGGAAACGGUAGCUAAUAUCGCAUAUCAUCUGGUGUGCCCCGAUGGGGUUAUCUUUUAGGUGAGGUAACGGCUAACCUAGGCGACGAUCCCUCGCUGGUCUGAGAGGAUGACCAGCCACAAUGGGACUGAGACACGGUCCAGACUCCUACGGGAGGCAGCAGUGGGGAAUAUUGCACAAUGGGGGCAAGCCUGAUGCAGCCAUGCCGCGUGUAUGAAGAAGGCCUUCGGGUUGUAAAGUACUUUCGGCGGGGAGGCGUUACCCGCAGAAGAAGCACCGGCUAACUCCGUGCCAGCAGCCGCGGUAAUAC